UUAUCUUGACUCAACCUCUCACCCUCUCUCUCUCUCUCUCUCUCUCUAUAUGUGCUGACACUUCUGGAUAAUAGAGAAAGGCAAGGACGAAGUGAGAGGCUUUGGCUCUUCGGCGACCGAGUUUUCGCGUCCCAUCAACUCUCAUCAAGGACCUCGCAUGUUGGCUAAGAGAGAAUGAUGCAGCCAAGGAUGACUUGCCGAAUUACAUUUCCUUCUUUCUGGAAAAGCGUCUUUCGAUCUGGUUCUGAGCUGAUUCCAGACAAGUCAUUCGAACAUACCUCGAAGAUCGAUCGGCAAGUUAGUCUUGGCUACAUGCUUCUUUCUUGAGCCUCAUGUUUGGCUCUUGGUGAUCUUUACUAAUUACUCACAGUCAUGAUCUGCAUCGGGAGCUUCUCCGAGAUUCUUGAUUCUUCAUUUGGGCUGGACAGUAGAUAUCUGCCAAGCAGCACUUUAACAAGCGGCAAUGAUUGGUGAAGUGUAUGUUCUUACGAUUUUUUUUUUUUUUUGGUUGAAAUGUUUUUAAGGCUGGACGGGCAGUGAAUUAUUUAGGAUCGCUUACCUUUUAGAGGGUAAAUUAACUUUUGGACGUGACUCUCGAAUUUCAGUUUCAAACACGAGCUCCGUGUCUUCCAUCAAACGAAACCAUGAUGUGAUUGUUAAUCAACAGCAAAAGCAUCUCUACGAUCACUUCUUGUAAUUCGACUUUUAAUGAUUGAUUUGCUUUCAUUUGGAGUAGUGCUCGAUGAAACUCUCUAGCUAUUACCACUUCUUGAGGACAGAAGAAUCCAAAAAUGUACUGGUGCUAAACUUUACAAGAAUGGGUUGCAUUUGGUUUAGUUUUUGCCAAAAGAGUUGGCCUUUUAUCCAAAGGGUUUUUAAGAGAAGUAAAUGGUUUAGUAAACAAUUGUAAAAUUCUAUAUUGUAAAGCAGUUUUUUUUUUCUUUUUGGUUAAUAAUUGUAAAGCGAUUUUAGAGAGAGAGAGAGAGAGAGAGAGAGAGGAUGGUCGGGUUCAUGCAAUGGAGGAAAGCUCGGGUGAUGGGCUGCCAAGGUCAUGCGAUCCCAAGCAAUAUGGCCCUAUUUGCCAACAUUUCAGAUAGUUGGUGGAUUAGGUCCUCAUGUCAUAUUUUCUUCUGAAAUGAAGAAUUUAGUGCAAAUAUGAUUGAAGAAGUAGUUUCUUCAUAUAUGGGCAACGGCACUUCAACUGGUUUUAGAGGUGAAAGGAAUAUGUAAUUGCUGUUUGAAAACAGAAAGUUAGAAACAAAGGGUAUCCAAUGUUGAUUUUCUUUU